rnacentral:sRNA from 1 species
UCACUGUCAAUAAUUGCAGGGCGAAUUAC